GCCGAUGUGGCUCAGUGGUAGAGCGGCGCACUCGUAAUGCGUAGGUCAGGGGUUCAAAUCCCCUCAUCGGCU
rnacentral:tRNA from 1 species